GAUGAACGCUGGCGGCGUGCCUAAUACAUGCAAGUCGCGCGAACAGAUGAGGAGCUUGUUCCUCUGAUGUUAGCGGCGGACGGGCGAGUAACAAGUGGAUAACCUACCUAUAAUACUGGGCUAACUUCGGGAACCCGGAGCUAAUACCGGAUAAUAUAUUGAACCUCAUGGUUCCAUAGUGAAAGACGGUUUUGCUGUCACUUAUAGAUGGAUCCGCGCCGCAUUAGCUAGGUGGUAAGGUAACGGCUUACCAAGGCGACGAUGCGUAGCCGACCUGAGAGGGUGGGCGGGUACACUAGAACUGAGACGAGGUCCAGACUCCUACGGGAGGCAGCAGUGGGGAAUCGUCCGCUAAGGGCGAAGGCCUGACGGAGCAACGCCGCGUGAGGGAUGAAGGUCUUCGGAUCGUAGAACUCUGUUAUUAGGGAAGAACAAAUGUGUAAGUAACUAGGCACGUCUUGACGGUACCUAAUCAGAAAGCCACGGCUAAUUACGUG
rnacentral:rRNA from 1 species